CCGCAGAGUCCGAGUGAGCCGCUGAAAGUCAGAUCUGUUCUUCAAAGCAGACUUUCAGCUUUAUUUCAAGCUUAAAUCUAAUCUGAUGUAGUCAGUAUUUACAGUCAGACUCUGUUAUUAACUGAAAACAGUGACAGACUCAGACAUUUAGAACAAACUAAGAGUCGGAUCAGCACAAAUACUGACACAGAGAUGGCUGCUGGCACUGCGCUGCUCUGCUCCACUUUGCUGUUCGUCCAUGUCUUCGUCCCAGCAGACCAGAAAAAUAUCAAUGCUGAGUCUGGACAGAACGUCACUCUGACAUGUCGAGCUUCAAACAGCAAGAUCAACAUUGUAAAGUGGAGCAGAGCUGACCUGGGAGAUGAAUAUGUGCUUUUGUACUGGGAUGGAUACUUUGUUCCAGACAGCCAGGAUCCAUCUUUUAAGAACCGGGUGGACAGACAGAUGAAGGAUGGAGACGUGUCUUUGAUUCUGAAGGAUGUGACGAUUAAUGACACUGGAACAUACGAGUGUCGUGUCUUCAUGGAAGAAACAUGGCGAUGGAGCACCAUCAGCAUCAUCUAUCUUCAUGUUCUUCCUCCAGACCAGAAAAUCAUCACAGCUGAGUCUGGACAGGACGUCACUCUGACAUGUCGAGCUCCAAACAACAACAUCAUAGUUGUAAAGUGGAGCAGAGAUGACCUGGGAGAUAAAUAUGUGCUUUUGUACCGGGAUGAUCAGUUUGUUCCAGAUGAGCAGCAUCCAUCUUUUAAGAACCGGGUGGAUCUGCAGGACAGACAGAUGAAGGAUGGAGACGUGUCUUUGAUUCUGAAGGAUGUGACGAUUAAUGAUGCUGGAACAUACGAGUGUCAUGUCUUCAUGGAAGAAACACACUCAUGGGAUCUCAGCAUCAUUUAUCUUCAUGUUGAUCCUCCAGACAAACACACCACCACACCUCCACCUACAUCCACACCUGCUGGUUCUACCUCCAUCACUCUUCCUCCUCCUCUCUCUGUGCUGUUGCCCAUUGGGUCAGUCUAUGUUGUGGUUCUACUGGUGUUACUGAUUCUGCUGGUGAGACGAUGUGUUCACAGGAAACUUGAAGCAGAUGGAGAAGAUGACAUCACCAGUAGCAUCACAUACAGUGUUGUGAAGUCAUCAAAUCAUCAACAACCUCCAGUCAAAGAAACCAGAGAGAGAGUGCUUCGUCCAUGACCUCCUGAAGGUAAAGGGCUCUAAGAGCCAAUCAGCAGCUCUGAAACAGGAAAUAUGACUCAUGUUGAAGUUCACAACAGUUUCAGCUUCUUAUCACAGUAAAGACGCAGUCAAUUGUACUCAUCACCAUGGAGACUGUAGCAUUAGAUCUAAAUAAAGGCUGGUUGGAGGCAGAGUGACAGUGUUGUAGAUGCUGCAUUUUGAAGCCUCAGUGUUUAAAUGGUGUCCUCAGCCAUAUAGACAGAGUGGGUGGAUUUGCUUCUGGAAGGACUUUGUUGCAGCUCUACAGCAGGUGUUUGUUGUUGGAUGACAUCACAUUCAGCUGUGACUGAGCCAUAAAUGUCAGAGCUCAGACGAGGCCCACACAUGUGUGUUAUCUGGUGUUGGUACACACACAGUUAAGAUAUGGCUCAUGUGAACAUGAGACAUAUGAAGAGACUGAACAGAAUGUCCUUUACAUCCAUCAGUGACUUUUUAUUCUUUUAAACUUGAUCUGCAUGUAAAACACAGCAGCUUCUUUUUGACUCCAGUUAGUCUGACACUGAUGGAGCUUCUUGCUGCAGAGUGUUUGGGUUUGGCUGAUAAUAGUGGUCAUGCAUGUUUGCUCUGUGGUAAAAGUGCAUCAGUCUGCACCUCUGUGGUCGCCCUUCUUCCUUUUCUCAGAAACAUCCUGAAUUCUUUGUGCUCAGUGUGUUUCACAGCAGAGGUGUUAAGAUUAAAAAUAAAUACUGUGAAAAGCUGCUGCAGUUUAUGAAAAGACAAAAUUGAAUUUUUUAAAAAAGCAU